rnacentral:rRNA from 1 species
UCAAACUGGAGAUGGCGACCGGCGCACGGGUGAGUAACACGUAUCCAACCUGCCGAUAACUCGGGGAUAGCCUUUCGAAAGAAAGAUUAAUACCCGAUGGCAUAGUUCUUCCGCAUGGUAGAACUAUUAAAGAAUUUCGGUCAUCGAUGGGGAUGCGUUCCAUUAGGUUGUUGGCGGGGUAACGGCCCACCAAGCCUUCGAUGGAUAGGGGUUCUGAGAGGAAGGUCCCCCACAUUGGAACUGAGACACGGUCCAAACUCCUACGGGAGGCAGCAUG